GAUGAAGAACGUAGUGAAAUGCGAUACGUAAUGUGAAUUGCAGAAUUCUGUGAAUCAUCGAAUCUUUGAACGCACAUUGCGCCCGCCAGCACUCUGGCGGGCAUGCCUGUUCGAGCGUCAUUUCAACCAUCAAGCCCCAGGCUUGCGUUGGAGCCCUGCGGCUGCCGCAGCCUCCUAAAAGCAGUGGCGGGCUCGCUAUCACACCGAGUGCAGUAGAUUACUCUUCGCUCAGGGCGUGCAGCGGGUUCCGGCCGUGAAACCCCCUACUUUUAAAGGUUGACCUCGGAUCAGGUAGGAAUACCCGCUGAACUUAAGCAUAUCAAUAAGCGGAGGA
rnacentral:misc_RNA from 1 species